rnacentral:rRNA from 1 species
AUUGAACGCUGGCGGCAGGCCUAACACAUGCAAGUCGAGGGGAGCGGCGGACGGGUGGGUAAUGCCUAUGAAUCUGCCUGGUCGUGGGGGAUAGCGUCCGGCAACGGACGCUAAUACCUCAUACUCUCAGAUGAGCCUAGGUGGGUUUGGCUAGUUGGUGGGGUAAAGGCCUACCAAGCGGACGAUCCAUACCUGGUCUGAGAGGAUGAUCAGUCACACUGGAACUGAGACACGGCCCAGACUCCUACGGGAGGCAGCAGUGGGGAAUAUUGGACAAUGGGCGAAAGCCUGAUGCAGCCAUGCCGCGUGUGUGAAGAAGGUCUUCGGAUUGUAAAGCACUUUAAGUCGGGAGGCGUUACCAACAGAAUAAGCACCGGCUAACUCCGUGCCAGCAGCCGCGGUAAUAC